rnacentral:rRNA from 1 species
AGUGAACGCUGGCGGUAGGCCUAACACAUGCAAGUCGAACGGCAGCACAGCGGAGCUUGCUCCUUGGGUGGCGAGUGGCGGACGGGUGAGGAAUACAUCGGAAUCUACUCUGUCGUGGGGGAUAACGUAGGGAAACUUACGCUCAUACCGCAUACGACCUACGGGUGAAAGCAGGGGACCUUCGGGCCUUGCGCGAUCGAAUGAGCCGAUGUCGGAUUAGCUAGUUGGCGGGGUAAAGGCCAACCAAGGAGACGGUCCGUAGACGGUCUGAGAGGAAGAUCAGCCACACUGGAACUGCGACAGGGUCGAGACUCCGACGGGAGGCAGCAGUGGGAAAUAUUGGACAAGGGGCGCAAGCCUGAUCCAGCCGUACCGCGUGGGUGAAUAAGGCCUUCGGGUUGUAAAGCCCUUUUGUUGGGAAAGAAAUCCAGCUGGCUAAUACCCGGUUGGGAUGACUGUACCCAAAGAAUAAGCGCCGGCUAACUUCGUGCCAGCAGCCGCCGUAA